rnacentral:rRNA from 1 species
CAGAACGAACGCUGGCGGCAUGACUUAACACAUGCAAGUCGAACGGGCGCCUUCGGGCGUUAGUGGCGCACGGGUGAGUAACGCGUGGGAACCUGUCAUGAAGUGGGGAACAACCACUGGAAACGGUGGCUAAUACCGCAUACGCCCUGAGGGGCAAAGGCUUCGGCCGCUUUGUGAGGGGCCCGCGUCCGAUUAGCUAGUUGGUGGGGUAACGGCCUACCAAGGCUACGAUCGGUAGCUGGUCUGAGAGGAUGAUCAGCCACACUGGGACUGAGACACGGCCCAGACUCCUACGGGAGGCAGCAGUGGGGAAUAUUGGACAAUGGGCGAAAGCCUGAUCCAGCAAUGCCGCGUGAGUGAAGAAGGCCUUAGGGUUGUAAAGCUCUUUCGCCUGCGACGAUGAUGACGGUAGCAGGAGAAGAAGCCCCGGCUAAUUCCGUG